CACCAAUUAUAACAAAUGCUAAAGAAACUUCUCUAGGUAGAAAAGGCCACAACUAGAAAUAAGAAAAUUAUGAAUGAGAAAGUUCUCCAGUAAAAGCAAACAUACAACAAAGUGAGAAUAAUUAAGAUCUACUCUGAGCAACUCUGAUAUAUAUAACACAGUAUUGUUGACUAUAGUCACCAUGCAGAGCCAAAGUCUGGAUCCUCUACCAUCUCUCAUCCUCCUAGGUAACUGACUAGAGUCUGUAUCUUAACAAGCAUUUCUCCUUAACAACUCAACAUCAAAAAGCAAGGAAUGUCUCCAAAGGAAUAUAGCUC